AGAGUUUGAUCCUGGCUCAGAUUGAACGCCGGCGGCAGGCCUAACACAUGCAAGUCGAGCGAGAAAGCCCUUCGGGGUGAGUACAGCGGCGGACGGGUGAGUAACGCGUAGGAAUCUACCCAGUAGUGGGGGACAACUUGGGGAAACCCAAGCUAAUACCGCAUACGCCCUAUGGGGGAAAGCGGGGGAUCUUCGGACCUCGCGCUAUUGGAUGAGCCUGCGUCGGAUUAGCUAGUUGGUGGGGUAAAAGCCUACCAAGGCGACGAUCCGUAGCUGGUCUGAGAGGAUGAUCAGCCACACUGGAACUGAGACACGGUCCAGACUCCUACGGGAGGCAGCAGUGGGGAAUAUUGCGCAAUGGGGGCAACCCUGACGCAGCCAUGCCGCGUGUGUGAAGAAGGCCCUAGGGUUGUAAAGCACUUUCAAUUGGGAAGAAAAGCUUGUCGUUAAUAGCGGCAAGCCCUGACAUUACCUUUAGAAGAAGCACCGGCUAACUCCGUGCCAGCAGCCGCGGUAAUACGGAGGGUGCGAGCGUUAAUCGGAAUUACUGGGCGUAAA
rnacentral:rRNA from 1 species